rnacentral:rRNA from 1 species
UGGUCGAUAUGGCAUGCCCGACGUAAAGCUAUUCAUGAGGCAAUCUUCCAAAGUCCCCAUCAAACACACUACUUCAUCACAAGUUUCAUGACAGAGCUCGGUGUGAUUAAUGAUUCAAACCGAGUGAACCAGUUACCGCAACAAAGACAGAACCCCAAGAAACCACCUCCCGGAGCAUACAAGAUACAUGUUGAUGCAGCUGUUCGUGCCAGAAGAGGAGGAGUGGCUGCUGCAGUUUGCAGAGAUGAAGCGGGGAAUUAUAUUGGGGCCUCAGCGUUGGUCCUGGAGGGUGUCACUGACCCUGCUUCUCUGGAGGCGAUAGCGUGCCGGGAGGCGUUGUGUUUGGCGGAGGACCUUAAUAUACACAACUUUGUCAUUGCGUCUGAUUGCAAACAAGUUGUGUCAGAUAUUGGCAACAAUGCGGGAGGAAGAUACGGAGCAAUCAUCAGCGAGAUUCGCCUUAGAACAGUUAAUGUCCAAUGUAAAUUUACUUUUGAGUGUCGUGCUGCGAACUAUGAAGUACACGGGUUAGCUAAAUUUUCAGUUUCUAGAGGUCCCGGUCGCCACGUCUGGUUUGGCGUUCCGUACAACCAGAUUCAUAUCCCACUUCAGGUGGCUUUUGAUGAAUAA